rnacentral:ncRNA from 1 species
CAGGAUUCAAUGAAGAGGAGCAUUAAUUUCGGGUGUGUCACGCAGAGAGCCGGUGUUCUUGGUGCGAGCCGGUUGACGAAGUCGAAAUGAACUCGCCUCUGAGAAACGGCGACAACCGCGAGGGACUUCAGAAAGGACAGCAAUGCCUGCUGACCGAAGGAAGCUUUCCAAGCGUUAACCGACGUCGGCCCGCCCCCGUUACAGGGCGUUAGAGUGAGCAAGCGGUGAUUUGGGAAGUCCGCCUGCUAACUAGGGUGGUACCACGGGAAUUCAGCCUCUCGUCCCUAGC